rnacentral:piRNA from 1 species
UAGGUAUGCAAGGUGAUUUUUCCCAGAA